GAUGAACGCUGGCGGCGUGCCUAAUACAUGCAAGUCGAGCGAAUGGAUUAAGAGCUUGCUCUUAUGAAGUUAGCGGCGGACGGGUGAGUAACACGUGGGUAACCUGCCCAUAAGACUGGGAUAACUCCGGGAAACCGGGGCUAAUACCGGAUAACAUUUUGAACCGCAUGGUUCGAAAUUGAAAGGCGGCUUAGGCUGUCACUUAUGGAUGGAUCCGCGUCGCAUUAGCUAGUUGGUGAGGUAACGGCUCACCAAGGCAACGAUGCGUAGCCGACCUGAGAGGGUGAUCGGCCACACUGGGACUGAGACACGGCCCAGACUCCUACGGGAGGCAGCAGUAGGGAAUCUUCCGCAAUGGACGAAAGUCUGACGGAGCAACGCCGCGUGAGUGAUGAAGGCUUUCGGGUCGUAAAACUCUGUUGUUAGGGAAGAACAAGUGCUAGUUGAAUAAGCUGGCACCUUGACGGUACCUAACCAGAAAGCCACAGCUAACUACGUGCCAGCCGCCGCGGUAA
rnacentral:rRNA from 1 species